rnacentral:lncRNA from 1 species
AACUAAGCUUACCUGAACUUAAAAAAAUGGAUAACUGUGCUGUUAUAAACGAGAGCAAUCAGAUACCAAUGCACAAUCAAAAACAUAGAACACAACAUCAUGGUUCACAGAAAAAAAACACAAUAGUUCACAAAAAACUAUAUCAUGUGACAAUGUAAACUUAAAAAUUGUGCAACAGGAACCUCACCACAAACCCCAAGG